UGUAAACAGACCCUCGGCACACCAGGAUCAAACUACUCUUCUCGUCUCAUCCACAAGGUGAUGCGGUGCAUCGUGAACCUUUGAUUUGUCCAGGGGUGCAGAAAGCGAAAUAAUAUGGCUGGUGGUGAACAGUUAAGUCGUCACAAUGCUACAAUCCUCGAUGACCUAGACAAGGGGGAUAUGGUGGAAUUCCCACGUCCAUUAUAUUCUCACUGGGGUGUUUAUAUAGGUGAUGACAAAAUUGUACAUUUAUCUGGAGCUGACGAUGCCGACAGCAGUGACGCCUUCACAUCGGGCAGCCUCUUUUCCAUUGGUGGAAUGUGUUUUAACAAAGCCUUUGUGAGGAUUGAUGACUUUCGGCAGGUUGCCAUGGGAUGUAAAGCCAAAAUAAACAACAAAAAGGACCGCCAUUCCACGCAGAAUCUACCGGUUAGGAUGUCGUCUAACUUCGUGUGCUUUUCCUUGUUUCUAUAAAGUAUGGAUGGAAUGAUGGACAAAGAAAGGCCACUACAAGCAGAUGAUAUUGUCAGGAGAGCCUACGAAAUGGUUGGAGAAAUCGGCUACAAUGUCCUGUGGAAUAACUGUGAACACUUUGCAUCCUUCCUAAGAUACAACAAAAAGCAAUCAAAGCAGGCUGAUACUGCUUUGAAAACGAGUGCGACAUUAGGUGGAGUAGCGGCCCUUGGAAUUGGUGCCAUGGUUUAUAAGAAACACCGUAAGAAAGAGAAAGAAGCGAGGUCAGCAAACCGUUAACAUAGACAAUAGAUACACAUUGAAAUUGAUAUCCAGACUUCUGACCUGCUAUAGGAUUAGCGUUUCAAUGGUGUGCUACAUUGUAUAUAACAUAGACAAUAGAUACACAUUGAAAUUGAUAUCCAGACUUCUAACCUGCUAUAGGAUUAACGUUUUAAUGGUGUGCUACAUUAUAUAUAACAUAGACAAUAGAUACACAUGGAAAUUGAUAUCCAGACUUCUAACCUGCUAUAGGAUUAGCGUUUCAAUGGUGUGCUACAUUGUAUAUAACAUAGACAAUAGAUACACAUUGAAAUUGAUAUCCAGACUUCUGACCUGGUAUAGGAUUAGCGUUUUAAUGGUGUGCUACAUUGUAUAAAACAUUGACAUUUUCUUGACAGCAGUUUAAUGCCGAUUUACCAUUGUAAUGUGAUUCAAGUUGGAACUAUAUUUACGCUUUUGAGCAUGAAUUAAAACUGUAGCCGGACAAAGGAACAAUUCAAUUACAUCCUAGAGUUUCUGAGUACGUAAAUGGUACCUAUAUCUUGAUCUACCUGAGUUAGACUAAUGAUUAACUUACUAAGUAAGUCAUUAUAAGGGUUUAAAUCUAGAACAAAAGUCAUUAGCCAUUUAGCACGAGUUGUGAUUAUUUCAUUCAAUUUUUUCAAGAAAACAGAGAAUAUCAGUAGUAACAUAUCCCUCAACUCGAUAUCGACAACAUAUGAACAUGAAAUAACCCACAAUUACCCCUUUUUCUUCUCCCUUGUUUUUUUCUUUACCUCUUAUGUUUUUGUUGAAACCGUUUUUCUGAAGAUUAACACUUAUAUACAUUCUGUAUAUCGGGUUCCUCGACUUCAGUUUCUUCUUUGUUUACUAUAGUGUUCCCUUCAAGUAUGCGUAACAACAAAUCUGGACAGAAAUUAUGUUUUCCAUCUAUAUACUCCAUCCUACAUUUGUAACAUAAAAUUAUUUUAAGGGUGUGCGAUUUGUCUUAAUGAUACCAUUGGCAUUAUAUAUUGAUCUUAUAUUAGCAAUGAAUAUUGGAUUGCAAAUGCUUUCUUUUUUAUAACAGACCUUUUUAUUUGUUUAUGACUGAUAUUACAGAUAAUGACAGGGCAUUUCUACAUCAUCUUCUGUCAUCUAAGUAAGACAUGCUCCAAUACAGGUAUCACUGACAUAGGUGUAAAAGGUGUAAGGUUUAUUGGUAUCCGGGUAGGCCAGUACUGGUACCACGGCCAAGCUUUCCUUAAUGAAAUCAAACCCCUUUUUGACAUUCGACCGUCCAGUAAAACCUUGCAAACUUUGUUGUAAGUGUGAUCAAAGGUUCAGCUGUUUGGGCUACUGCGAGCCUUUAUAAGACAUAACAACUACUUUAUUAUUUAGUCUUCAUGAGACUUACAGGUUUAUGUCUUCGUCUAGCGACACAUACGUUUGCCCACCUUAAGACAACUUAACUAAACAUAUUCUAAAACAAAUUUUGGUGAAGCCAAUUUCUCCCUUUAGUUCAUUUCCUGUCCAUGCCAUUGCCAACAACACAUUUCUUUGUCUAUAUUUGACCUUUCAUCUGAAAUGUUAUCUCAGUACAAUCUUAUACGGAGAGAUCAUUUUCGUUUACGGCCUCUAAGUGGUUUUUUUUUAAUGAGUUUAGGUUUCGCGGGUAGUUUGUUAAAUAAGCUUUCUUUUAUGAAACUAACCUCUGUCCAAAAGUCAACAAGACUACGACAUUUUUGUUUUUGUGUACGGACGUUAUGUGUGUUCGUCAACUCCUUUCACCGGCUUCCUUGUUGGAGGGGUGUUUUAGUUUAAAGAUUGCAAAGGGGGAUAGUUUCAUCUAUAUAUUUUGUUACAGUACCAACAUACGGCACCAGUUGUGGGGUGAGAUUGUAUGGCGGACAUCUGUUUUCCCCCUCAUAGCUCCCCUACAUUUCCGAGCGAGAUGUCUCUGUUUACCGCAAUGAUAACAGGUCCUCUGAGGUCGCAUGGGUCCUAGUUAACAAUGAUAACAGGUCCUCAGAGGUCGCAUGGGUCCUAGUUAACAAUGAUAACAAGUCAUCAGAGGUCGCAUGGGUCCUAGUUAACAAUGAUAACAGGUCCUCAGAGGUCGCAUGGGUCCUAGUCUCUUCCAAAUACUUUGUUGCGUCAUUGCUAUCUGUACCGCCGGUUCUAAUGUUGUUGGUUCCUCCUCAAAACUUUCGUUUUAAGACAAUCAAUUCUUAACCCAUCAAAGAACGAGUUCUCAAGCUGUUGUUGGAUUAUAUUUUGAUUUCCAUUAUUGGCCUGCGGAUAAGCAUUCUCUGCCAAUUGAAGUAACCUUUCAAAAAUAUCUGUACACUCUCAGAUUAUGUUUGUUUGUUUUUUCUAUUCAAAGCAAAUGCCUGUUGCACAUCGUUUAUAUCACCAAUCCUACGUUUUAUAAGUACUUUCAAAUCCAUCUAACUUGCUGCCUUGUUUGCUCUCACUGUCUCUUUAAAAUAGCACUAAAAUAUCCAUUUACGUGCCUGUAUUCUUUUCCUGAUAGUUUCUAUUGUUUAUUAUAAUUUAUAUCCCGUGUAUUUAUCUUUUUUUCUUUGUUUUAUAAGGACAACAGACAAUAUCAGUAGUAAGAUAUACCUCAUCUCAAUAUCUGUCGCUUAUGUAAACAGUCACUGCGAACGUCUGUCAUCGUAUUACAAAACUAACGUUAACAUUACAUGAAGUAUUAAACGCAUACUCAUUUCCUUAACAAUCCUUUUUACUAAUAUUCUGCAAUCCAAGAUGUGCUCACAAUAUCUGACAAUAUCCAACGACAUAAUAUAAAGUGUUCUCCCGUUCAUUUUUUUAACUCUAUUAAGGUAUAUUGUGAGAGUUUGUUGUUGUUAUUUUACGUUUUAUAAGUGAAUGUGGUAUUAAUGUAUGUCUGAAUAGAGCAAUAUAAAGUGAUUGAGAGAGUACAUAGAUGCUACUGUUGUAUGGGACAGGAUUUUGUUUGAUAAGUACACGUUUCAAAUUUUCAGUCUUUCGUCUUCCCAUUAAAAUGCAUUUCAUAUUGAAAAAUGUCCAUGAAAUUCAAAGAUAGAUGAAACUAGGAACAAAUACGGCAUCCGUAUCUCAAUCUGGGUCAAAUCCAUAUGCCAUGUUGUCAAAGAGGGAUAUUAAUAUGGUACAAGGAAAUAAAAAAUAUCCAAAUGA
rnacentral:misc_RNA from 1 species